UAUAGCUAUUGUGUUAAGAUGUUGGUAUUAUAUAUAGUUUUUCCCCAUGUGUUCUGUUUGUGUUACUUUUAUAAUUAAAUAAUUUUUAAAGAGGUACUUGAGAAAGUUAAGGUCAGAUUUCAAAUAGGUGGACUCAGUUGUAUCAAGAUGAACACGUCUGAGGGCAAUCAACAGAAAGCAGAACGUACAUGAAAUAUACAUAUAUUUUUUUUCAUAUAUACGUGUAACAGGGACGUUUCUCAUUCUAGACAGUACAAAGAGAAAAUUUCAUUUUCAAGGAGUAGCUGUGCUUUGAUCAAUGGUAUAGACAAGAUUCCAAAGUGGCAGAUAAAGUGGUGCUGUGGCUGCCUGUAGUAUGUGAAGCACCCGUAGUUUCACAAGUGUAAAGGAUCGGGAACCAGAGGAGCCCACUCUUUCAGGCAACCAACAGGCUUGGACCAGGGACAAAAGUGGGGAGAAGACCUAAAAUUGAAAGGACUGAACAGCAGUGCCAGCAAAGGAGUUCCAGAAGGAAAAACUGAAGGGAAGAGUGGAUAAGCUAUACUUUAAAAAAGAAGAAAGAAAUGACUGAAGAUUUUCUAAUCAAAACAUCAGAAUACCAUAUGUACUGAACAAGAAAGAAAAACCACCAGAAUUACAAAGACAAACUGACAACCCCACUCUCUGAAUGGGAGAUUUUAACAAUCUAUCAGACACGACUAGAUCAAGAAGAACAAAAAAAACAGAGAGAACAAUGACUCUGCAUUGACUGAAGUUGGAAGGGGUGUUAAAUUAUACAACCAAACUGAGGUUACUUACAAAUGCUGGAAAUUAGGAGCUAUUUUUCCAAAGACACUUCAUUCAGUAGCUUCAAGCAUGAAAAAAGUUUAAAGAACUUACAGAUUUCCAAUUAUGAAUUUUAAGCUUUUGUAUUUAUUUUACAGCCAUUCCAAAAUGCAAAUGAGGUUCAAAGUUCCAAACGUGCUGUGCAAUUUCAAUUUAAUAUUCUAAUGCAUGGAGUGAAGUUUGAGCCUAUAAUACAGAAACAGGACUACUUGAACAGCCAAGAAACGCUUUGGAGCCUUAAAGGGAAAUCUGCUUGGGAGUCUGCAGACUAAAAGGUUUCUGGUAGGAAUAGAGCCACAAUGAGAUGUAUGACUCUAGCAUUGCCUCUUAAGUGAUGGCAAGGAUGUGUUUUGAAAAGACAAAAUCCUUUUUGUGUCUGAUUUUUAAAGUUAACACUUAUUUGAGGGCUAAUAUUGCACUAAAUUUCAUACAUGGAGUCUGCUGUUUAUUAUGAGCCAUUAUGUUCAAGUUCACUUCAGACAAUAUUGCUCCUUCAAUUGCAGUCUGCAUUCAAGGGCAGUGCAAGCAAAAUAGUGAAGAGGGCUCUUCUCCUUUAGGGCCAGUUGCUGUAUCACCCUACCUAAAACCUGAUUUGGUUACCAUUAUGCUAUAUAGACAUCUCUGUCUUGCUGCAGAAAUGCUAAAAUCAGAGAUUCCACUAUCAAGAUGUUGUAGGGUUCUUCCCUAUAACAGAAGUUGAAAGAACGGAUGUAUUACACUUUUCUGAUGUUUUUCAAAAUUAUAGUAACAUGUUAGUUUUAAACAGCAUGAAAAAAAUUAGGCCACAUCAAUAAAAUUAUAGUUCUUUAUAUUUCUAGUUGAGCCAGAUAUGUAUUAAAGUUGAAGGGGGUUUUCAUUUUUGUUUUUGUGUUGGUGGUAGUUUUUUUCUUCAAAUCUUUGUGCUUCCUGGAAAUAUAUAUGCAAGGAAGGAAGGAAGGAAGGAAUUGAUGUGCCAAUAGAUGUGAAUAAUGCUGAAGAUUUACACACACUACACAGAAAUUACUACUACCUCUACAAGUACAUCAAGAUUUGAAGAUGGGAUUAGCCCCCAACAGAAAAAACAAACUAAUUGUAUCAUUUUCACAGUAGCAAUAUUAAUCAUUAUGUUAAUGUAUCAAUAAUAACAAGAAAUUUGGAAAGGUCUUUAGUGCUUUCUCUCAUAUUUCAGCAAAAUAUCCACAGUGUCCCCUUAUUUUUAUGAAUUGGGGGAAAAUGAA